GUGCUUGCUAUGGCAACACAUAUACUAAAAUUGGAACGAUACAGAGAAGAUUAGCAUGGCCCCUGCGCAAAGGAUGAAAUUUUUUUGAUUCAAGGACAAAAUUCCA